CCUACGGGAGGCAGCAGUGGGGAAUAUUGGACAAUGGGCGGAAGCCUGAUCCAGCAACGCCGCGUGAGGGAUGACGGCCUUCGGGUUGUAAACCUCUUUCAGUACCGACGAAGCGCAAGUGACGGUAGGUACAGAAGAAGGACCGGCCAACUACGUGCCAGCAGCCGCGGUAAUACGUAGGGUCCGAGCGUUGUCCGGAAUUAUUGGGCGUAAAGGGCUCGUAGGCGGUUUGUCGCGUCGGGAGUGAAAACACCGGGCUUAACUCGGUGCUUGCUUCCGAUACGGGCAGACUAGAGGUAUGCAGGGGAGAAUGGAAUUCCUGGUGUAGCGGUGAAAUGCGCAGAUAUCAGGAGGAACACCGGUGGCGAAGGCGGUUCUCUGGGCAUUACCUGACGCUGAGGAGCGAAAGUGUGGGGAGCGAACAGGAUUAGAUACCCUUG
rnacentral:rRNA from 1 species